rnacentral:lncRNA from 1 species
GGAGACGCCGGAGGAGAUUUCCGUGACAACGGCAAGCUGGCUGCAACGAAGCCGCCCACGUAGGCCUCCCCGGCCUGCUGGAGGAGAGGGGAUCCCCCGGGGCAGAGGCGGCUACACCCGGAGAACCCGGAAACCGGAAGCGCAGAUCCUGCCGGCUCUGGACUAGCCGCUCAGCACCAGGGCGGAAGGAAGACGAGGCGAGGCAAGCGCCAAGCUUCCAUCCGGACUUCAAGGCCAGUGGCUGGGUCUGGUUUUCUCAACACGGCCUCCUAGUCUCCUUCCCGCUUGGGCAUCUGUUUUUCUUAUAUAGACCCUGAAGCCGCCCGUGAUGUUCUGUAAGCAGGUUCCGCUUCAGAAUCAGAGGUACUUAAGAGGGAACCUGGAUGCUAGACCUGCCCUUGCUGCUGGCCUCAGUUUCUUUACCUGUAAAACAGGGAUUUUGGAACUGUUAAAUUAAAUCAAACUUAAAAGAAUUACAACUUAAAGCUGCUGGAACUUUACAUGAUCCCGAGCCUUGAGAGGAAUGUGGCUAUGCAGCCUGAGUCAUGUGGCAUGCAGAUGCAACCUCUGCCUUUUUCCGCUGUAAAUAAUUAAGAAGACCAAGUAGCAUCCAAGGACUCAAGGCAUUCUAGCCCAGACUCCAACUCUUGAGUUUCCAGUUCACUACCACCAGCCUAGAGAUCACAUCCUCAUCAGGAGUUGGAAAGAAGGGAAGCUUGAGCCCACUUGGGAAGGACCUUAUUUAGUGCUCUUAACAACUGAUACAGCAGUUUGGACUGCCAAGAAGGGCUGGACUCAUCACACUCAAGUUAAGCGGGCACCACCCUUCCCAGAAUCAUGGACCCUUGUUCCAGGACCAACUCUUACCAAGCUAAGGCUAAAGAGGGUUUAACCCUCUUAUUCUGUAUUUAUUUCCUCCCCCUACCCCAUCCCUAGUCCCCUUAUCAUUAAUGUAACCAAGUCAAGCUCACCCCAAACUAUUACCUUUGAUGCUUGCCUUGUUAUACCCUGUGGAGAGUUGUCAAGUCAAAAGCAACUCUCUUCUUCAGAAAAGUAUCUCCAUCCUUCCUGGCUUUCCUCAGAUUGGGCAUUUGUUAAUCGGGAUAAGUUAGUUUGGGAAGAGUUUGAUGAAGACUUCAGUAUGAACUGGAAAUCUUGUCCUCUUAGAGCAGAUCUUCUCUGCCGAAGUUGGUUCAAUGUUUGAUGAAAUACUAAAGAGCAAGAAUGGACCACC